GCCGUCAUAGCUCAGUCGGUAGAGCGCCUCACUUGUAAUGAGGAUGUCCGGGGUUCGAAUCCUCGUGGCGGCACCA
rnacentral:tRNA from 1 species